rnacentral:lncRNA from 1 species
UCUAGACCAUGAACCUACUAUCAAUUUUAAAAAUUUUCUGGUCUUCCUAAAAGAAGUGUGGUGUUGUGGGCUGAUAGAUCAAUACCAUAGAUCAAACCUAUUGCCUGGUACACAUAACACACAUCUGGACCUGGUAACAUAAAAUCAUUCUGGUAACCUAAGAGUCUCUGUGCAGCACCUGCAGAAAGUUGUCGAACAUAGUGCCAAGAGGUGCACCAGGACGUGUCACUCCGGGGGACAACUAGGCCUCUGCGGUGGUGGCCUUGGGCAAUUUUAUUUUCAGCAGACUUGAAAAGGUAGAAAAUGGUAGCUGUGGAUCUGGUCCCAGAGUAUCCAAGGUAACACUGGCCAGGAAGACGGCUGGGGGAAAGAUGCACACAGUGUGGGAAAAGGAUUCGGGAGCCAAAAAUAGAUUUGGUUUUUCUGUUUUGUCUAAUUUCUAGGCAGAAACUUCUUUUGUGUGUGUGCCUGAGAAGAGAUGAACAUACAUUCCCUCCUACCAGGCUGAACGUUUGGCCAGAAAACACAACUCACCCGUUGGCGGCUGACAAUCCAGGCUCAUCAAAAUAAAUGUGGGGUCCCCUUCAUCUAUAGAGGCGUGUUCUUGUUAAGAGCUUGUUCGGAGUGGGAACACGGGUAGCUCUGGGAGCCCUGCUGACCAUUAUCUUCCCAUUCAGGUCUGUAUUGUGGAAGCUGCUCUCUAUUUUCUCAUGUAGAG